rnacentral:rRNA from 1 species
GACGAACGCUGGCGGCGUGCCUAAUACAUGCAAGUCGAACGCUUUUUCUUUCAUCGGAGCUUGCUCCACCGAAAGAAAAAGAGUGGCGAACGGGUGAGUAACACGUGGGUAACCUGCCCAUCAGAAGGGGAUAACACUUGGAAACAGGUGCUAAUACCGUAUAACACUAUUUUCCGCAUGGAAGAAAGUUGAAAGGCGCUUUUGCGUCACUGAUGGAUGGACCCGCGGUGCAUUAGCUAGUUGGUGAGGUAACGGCUCACCAAGGCAACGAUGCAUAGCCGACCUGAGAGGGUGAUCGGCCCCACUGGGACUGAGACACGGCCCAGACUCCUACGGGAGGCAGCAGUAGGGAAUCUUCGGCAAUGGACGAAAGUCUGACCGAGCAACGCCGCGUGAGUGAAGAAGGUUUUCGGAUCGUAAAACUCUGUUGUUAGAGAAGAACAAGGAUGAGAGUAAAAUGUUCAUCCCUUGACGGUAUCUAACCAGAAAGCCACGGCUAACUACGUGCCAGCAGCCGCAGUAA